UACGUAGGGUGCGAGCGUUGUCCGGAAUUACUGGGCGUAAAGAGCUCGUAGGUGGUUUUGUCGCGUUGUCCGUGAAAACUCACAGCUCAACUGUGGGCGUGCGGGCGAUACGGGCAGACUGGAGUACUGCAGGGGAGACUGGAAUCCUGGUGUAGCGGUGGAAUGCGCAGAUAUCAGGAGGAACACCGGUGGCGAAGGCGGUUCUCUGGGCAUUACCUGACGCUGAGGAGCGAAAGUGUGGGGGAGCGAACAGG
rnacentral:rRNA from 1 species